GGAAAUUAACAUUUUGCACUAAAGCAGUUUUGGACAGCAGCAGUAGUGUAACUUUGAAAAAUCACCAAAAAUUGUAGAGAUUGAAUUAGAGGAUGAAUAAAAUAUGAAAUUAAAGCUUAUUGAGUCUAGUUUCUUAUAAAAGAAAUGAUGUGAGCAAUGGAAUUGUAAAUCAUGAGAUAUAAUAGAUUUUGUGAGACAAGGUUAGAAUGAAUUCGGGUUCCCCUGUUCUGACUUUGGAAAAUCAUUAAAAAUUGUACAGAAAUUAUUAUGAGUUGUAGUUUAUAUGGUUAGAAUCCUUAAUGAGUCUAUUUUUAGAAGAAACAAGCUAAAACAUCAUCCGAAUUCUGUACAAUGAGAUAAUUAAUUUUUAGUGAAGAGUGGUCGGAACUGUCAGACAGCGAAACAGGGGAAACUUUAAAGAAUAAACUGUACUAUUUGGCUGAACCAAAAAUUAUGAAAAUUUUAUGGUAUGAAGAUAUGUGAGUCUAGUUUCAGGGAAAAUUAA
rnacentral:lncRNA from 1 species